CCUGUGGAGAGUUACAGCAAACGUGAGUAGCGAAGGCGAAAACGGACUCGCUGAAGCAGGAA
rnacentral:sRNA from 12 species